rnacentral:rRNA from 1 species
AGAGUUUGAUCCUGGCUCAGAUUGAACGCUGGCGGCAUGCCUUACACAUGCAAGUCGAACGGCAGCACGGGAGCAAUCCUGGUGGCGAGUGGCGAACGGGUGAGUAAUAUAUCGGAACGUGCCCAGUCGUGGGGGAUAACGUAGAGAAAUUUACGCUAAUACCGCAUACGAUCUAAGGAUGAAAGCGGGGGACCGUAAGGCCUCGCGCGAUUGGAGCGGCUGAUAUCAGAUUAGGUUGUUGGUGAGGUAAAAGCUCACCAAGCCGACGAUCUGUAGCUGGUUUGAGAGAACGACCAGCCACACUGGGACUGAGACACGGCCCAGACUCCUACGGGAGGCAGCAGUGGGGAA